CUCUGUCAUCCUACGGGAGGCAGCAGUGGGGAAUAUUGCACAAUGGGCGCAAGCCUGAUGCAGCCAUGCCGCGUGUGUGAAGAAGGCCUUCGGGUUGUAAAGCACUUUCAGCAGUGAGGAAGGCGGAGUCGUUAAUAGCGGCCUCGUUUGACGUUAGCUGCAGAAGAAGCACCGGCUAACUCCGUGCCAGCAGCCGCGGUAAUACGGAGGGUGCGAGCGUUAAUCGGAAUUACUGGGCGUAAAGCGCAUGCAGGUGGUUUGUUAAGUCAGAUGUGAAAGCCCGGGGCUCAACCUCGGAAUAGCAUUUGAAACUGGCAGACUAGAGUACUGUAGAGGGGGUAGAAUUUCAGGUGUAGCGGUGAAAUGCGUAGAGAUCUGAAGGAAUACCGGUGGCGAAGGCGGCCCCCUGGACAGAUACUGACACUCAGAUGCGAAAGCGUGGGGAGCAAACAGGAUUAGAUACCCUGGUAG
rnacentral:rRNA from 1 species